AAACGACUCUCGGCCAACGGAUAUCUC
rnacentral:rRNA from 1 species